rnacentral:rRNA from 1 species
UACAGAGGCCUCGAGCGUUAGGCGGAAUCACUGGGCUUAAAGCGUGUGUAGGCGGACCCCUAAGUACCUUGUGAAAUCCCACGGCUCAACCGUGGAACUGCUCGGUAUACUGGGUAUCUUGAGCCACUUAGGGGCGACCGGAACAAAUGGUGGAGCGGUGAAAUGCGCAGAUAUCGGGAGGAACACCGGUGGCGAAGGCGGCCAUCUGGGACAACACUGACGCUGAGGCACGAAAGCGUGGGGAGCAAACAGG